rnacentral:rRNA from 1 species
UACGUAGGGUGCAAGCGUUGUCCGGAAUUAUUGGGCGUAAAGAGCUCGUAGGCGGUCUGUCGCGUCUGCUGUGAAAUCCCGAGGCUCAACCUCGGGCUUGCAGUGGGUACGGGCAGGCUAGAGUGCGGUAGGGGAGAAUGGAACUCCUGGUGUAGCGGUGGAAUGCGCAGAUAUCAGGAAGAACACCGAUGGCGAAGGCAGUUCUCUGGGCCGAUACUGACGCUGAGGAGCGAAAGCGUGGGGAGCGAACAGG